rnacentral:tRNA from 1 species
GCGACUGUCGUCAAGCGGUUAAGACUCAGGAUUGUGGCUCCUGCAUACGUGGGUUCGAAUCCCAUCAGUCGCCCCA